AGGGCUCCUCAUUAAGGUGGGUGGAAUAAUAUAACAAUAGAGCGCGUGUUGUUAUAGUAUUCCACCCUCCCUGAUGUCCCC
rnacentral:pre_miRNA from 1 species